UACCCCGUUGGAAUUAAGGCGACUUUUCAAUCAGCUGAGGUAUAGAAACCAACCGGGAUUGCCUCAGUAACGGCGAGUGAAGCGGCAAGAGCUCAAAUUUGAAAUCUGGCCCCCUGGGGGUCCGAGUUGUAAUUUGCAGAGGAUGCUUCGGGUGCGGUCCCCAUCUAAGUGCCCUGGAACGGGCCGUCAUAGAGGGUGAGAAUCCCGUCUGGGAUGGGCGGCCGUGCCCGUGUGAAGCUCCUUCGACGAGUCGAGUUGUUUGGGAAUGCAGCUCUAAGCGGGUGGUAAAUUUCAUCUAAAGCUAAAUACUGGCCGGAGACCGAUAGCGCACAAGUAGAGUGAUCGAAAGAUGAAAAGCACUUUGAAAAGAGAGUUAAACAGCACGUGAAAUUGUUGAAAGGGAAGCGUUGUCCACCAGACUCGCCCGGGGGGGUUCAGCCGGCACUCGUGCCGGUGUACUCCUCUCCGGGCGGGCCAGCAUCGGUUUGGGCGGCUGGUGAAAGGCCCCGGGAAUGUAACACCCUCCGGGGUGCCUUAUAGCCCGGGGUGCCAUGCAGCCAGCCUGGACCGAGGCCCGCGCUUCGGCGAGGAUUUCUGUUCGUUAAUGGUGGUCAACGGCCCGUCU
rnacentral:rRNA from 1 species